rnacentral:rRNA from 1 species
GAUGAACGCUGGCGGCGUGCCUAAUACAUGCAAGUCGAGCGAACGGACGAGAAGCUUGCUUUUCUGAUGUUAGCGGCGGACGGGUGAGUAACACGUGGAUAACCUACCUAUAAGACUGGGAUAACUUCGGGAAACCGGAGCUAAUACCGGAUAAUAUUUUGAACCGCAUGGUUCAAAAGUGAAAGACGGUCUUGCUGUCACUUAUAGAUGGAUCCGCGCUGCAUUAGCUAGUUGGUAAGGUAACGGCUUACCAAGGCAACGAUGCAUAGCCGACCUGAGAGGGUGAUCGGCCACCCUGGAACUGAAACACGGUCCAGACUCCUACGGGAGGCAGCAGUAGGGAAUGUUCCGCAAUGGGCGAAAGCCUGACGGAGCAACGCCGCGUGAGUGAUGAAGGUCUUCGGAUCGUAAAACUCUGUUAUUAGGGAAGAACAUAUGUGUAAGUAACUGUGCACAUCUUGACGGUACCUAAUCAGAAAGCCACGGCUAACUACGUG